rnacentral:lncRNA from 1 species
CACGGCUCGGAUCUGACGUUGCUGGGGCUGUGGUGUAGGCCGGCAGCUACAGCUCGGAUUGGACUCCUAGCCUGGGAACCUCCAUAUGCUUUGGGUUUGGCCCUAAAAAGCAACAAACAAACAAAAAACCCCAACAUUAUUUAUUUAUUUAUUUUUGCUUUUUUAUGCCCAGGCUAGGGGUGGAGUUAGAGCUACAGCCACCGGCCUUCGCCACAGCAAUGCCAGACCCAGCCGCCUCUGCGACCUACACCACAGCUCACGGCAACGCCGUAUCCUCAACCCACUGAGCAGUGAGGCCAGGGAUCAAACCUACAUCCUCAUGGAUACUAGUUGGAUUCAUUUCUGCUGAGCCACAAUGGCAACUCCUGGCAGAUAUUCUCAAAUUUGAGCCUGCAUCACGAUAACCUGCAAAACUUACCAUCACACAUGUUGAUGUGCCCAACCCUAGAGUUUGGGGUUUAUUUCAAAGGCAGCCAGGUCUGAUGAUUUGUGUUUGUAACAGCUUCCCGGGUAGUGCUGGUACAGCUGGCCUCGGGGUCACAUUCUGAGACAAUGGAUCUUUGGGUUCACAAUUUACAGCUAUCCUGAGCAAUGCCCCGACUUGCUCAAGAACAGAUACCAUACCUGUUAGUCCCAUCUGCUCCUGAAAAAACAAGUCUUGGGCACAUCUUGGAAAUUUUAACUAGGCUUUCCCAAAAAUGUUUUGCUGCCUAGAAAUCUCUGUACAGCUCGGAUUGUACAGCAGAGAGAUAAACUAUAUUAGGUAUGGUUGUCAUCGGUUGAAUUGUGUCUCUCCAAAGGUACGCUGACGUCCUAGUUGCUGGUACUUGUGAAACCUGUGUCCUAUGCAAGCUUGCAUCUGCAUCUUCCAUCUACACCCCAGCUCGCGGCAACGCGGGAUCCUUAACGCACGGAGGGAAGCCAGGGAUCGAACCUGAAUCCUCAUGGAUACUAGUUGGGUUCUUAACCCACUGAGCUGCAACAGGAACUCCAACUGCCCACUCUUUUUGGAAAGCAGAGGGAGGCAGCUGUUCCUCAUUCUUUCACGCACUUUCACGUUAUCAGUAUUCAGCCAACAAUUUCUUCCUGAGAAGGAACAGAACAAGUCUGUACAGCCACUCCUGCAAACAUAGUGAGAACGUCAGCGCGAAGACGGCGGCCGUGUUGGGUCAUGGCGCCCUCUGGUGGCCACUGUGGAAAAGAGCAGGACAUCACCGGGACCCAGCGAGAGCCUGGAGGACGGAGGUGAGAGCACAACGCAGAGGCCCCUGGUGUGAGGCGCGGGAUCUUGCCGUAGGACAGUACCUGUCUGGCAGGCUGUGGUCUGGAAGCUGGCAGAGGACAGGCCUGUGAGGGACAUUCUCUUUCCUGUCAGCCCCGCUGCUUCGAGGUGAUGCCCAUGGAGCCCGCAGGGAGAGGCCUUCGCUGCUCUCCUUUCCCAUAAAAGGCAGCCCCUGGG